CAAUAGCGUAUAUUAAAGCUGUUGCGGUUAAAAAGCUCGUAGUUGGAUUUCUGUCAAGGACAACUGGUCCGCCCUCCGGGUGAGCACAUAGUUUGGUCUUGGCAUCUUGCUGGAAACUGUUGCUGCGCUUGGUUGUGUGGUGCAGCUCUCAGCACUUUCACUUUGAGGAAAUUGGAGUGUUUCAAGCAGGCACAUGCCUUUGGACACAGUAGCAUGGAAUAAUUAGAUUGGGCUUUUGCUCCAACUUGUUGGUUCCUGGAGCUGAGGUGAGAAUCAAUGGGGAUUGUUGGGGGCAUCCGAAUUUAGCCGUCAGAGGUGAAAUUCUUGGAUCUGCUAAAGACGGACAACUGCGAAAGCGUUUGCCCAGGAUGUUUUCAUUGA
rnacentral:rRNA from 1 species